GAUGAACGCUGGCGGCGUGCUUAACACAUGCAAGUCGAACGGAAAGGCCAGUGCUUUGAGGGGUGCUCGAGUGGCGAACGGGUGAGUAACACGUGGGUAAUCUGCCCUGCACUUUGGGAUAACUUUGGGAAACUGGGGCUAAUACCGGAUAGGACCUUCGGCUGCAUGCCGUGGUGUAGAGAGUUUCGGGGGUGGGAGUGGGACGCGCGGCUUCUGCGUUUGUUGGGGGGGUUGUGGUAUACCGGGGUCUUGGCGGGUAUGCCGUGUGAGGGGGUGAGCGGCCAUAUUGGGUCUGAGAUGGGCCAGAGACUCCUACGGGGGACAGCAGUGGGGAAUAGCGCAAAGUGGGCAAAACUCAUACGGAGCAACGGCGCGUGGGGGGAGACGGUUUUCGGGUUAUAAUCCUCUUGCGCGGGGGGAGACGGGUGAGUGACGGUAACUGGUAAAGAAGCACCGGCUAACUACGUG
rnacentral:rRNA from 1 species